rnacentral:rRNA from 1 species
GACUACGGUCGCAAGAUUAAAACUCAAAGGAAUUGACGGGGACCCGCACAAGCGGUGGAGCAUGUGGUUUAAUUCGAUGCAACGCGAAAAACCUUACCACUCCUUGACAUGGAAAUUAUACCUAUUCGAAGGGAUAGGGUCGGUUCGGCCGGGUUUCACACAGGUGUUGCAUGGCUGUCGUCAGCUCGUGUCGUGAGAUGUUGGGUUAAGUCCCGCAACGAGCGCAACCCUCAUCCUUAGUUACCAUCAGGUAAUGCUGGGGACUUUAAGGAAACUGCCAGUGAUAAACUGGAGGAAGGUGGGGAUGAUGUCAAGUCAUCAUGGCCCUUAUGGAGUGGGCUACACACGUGCUACAAUGGUGGCUACAAUGGGCUGCAAAGUCGCGAGGCUAAGCUAAUCCCUUAAAAGCCAUCUCAGUUCGGAUUGUACUCUGCAACUCGAGUGCAUGAAGUUGGAAUCGCUAGUAAUCGUGGAUCAGCACGCCACGGUGAAUACGUUCUCGGGUCUUGUACACACUGCCCGUCACGCCAUGGGAAUUGGUUUCACUCGAAGCUAACGACCUAACCGCAAGGAGGGAGUUAUUUAAAGUGGGAUCGGUGACUGGGGUGAAGUCGUAACAAGGUAGCAGUAGGGGAAUCUGCAGCUGGAUUACCUCCUUA